UCUGUGGCAAUAUUCUCCCAAAGAACAGGCUUGCUGUUCCCUUUUUUUUCCCUAGAGAAUAGCUUGGUGUCUUGACCGGCUCUGUGCCUAAACGCACACUCAGCAGUUCUAAAGAAUGACAGAUUCAGCAAGCAGGGUGCGUGUGGCCCGCAGCGCUGGGCCGCCGAGAGGCGUCUGUUGGCUACAUAAGAGAAUAGGUAAUCCCCGCAAUUAUGUUCCCUUCCUUGACUAAGGGGAGUAGUCACGUAAACAGCAUUAGUUGGGAAUCAAGUCUUUGGUUCUGCCAGUGGCUGCUUUCAUAACUGCCUUACGGCAUGGCCGUGUGACUUUUGUCCUGGUGAUCCAGUGUUUCCUCCCAUCCAGGGAAUGGGUUUGGGCUCCCUGGGCUGCAGGUCUGAGCUUCGAACACGCUAGAGGCAUACAGAUUAACCCAGGGAAACGCAGAAUACCACCGUUAUCUGAAUAUGGCUCGUGGCCGAUUUGUGACCUCUCACUCACCUAUCUGGGGCAUGAUUAAAUAAUGCAAAUUAAGUAUAGUAAUUUCCCCGAGCAAACAACAUGACUUCGGUAAUUACACCAGCCCCAAAGUUCAUACGUUGCAGUACAAACAGGAACAUUAACUUGCACGAGGGGGUGCUUAGCAGCACCCAGUGUGAACCACUGGUCCGUGGGACUUGCGGCUGAGGUCCGGACCCGGCCUCUGGAAUGCCUGUUAUGAACAAGGCUCCAGAAAAAAAGAUAUAUUGACAGUCCCUUGGGAUUGGGAGUGUUCAAGAGUAGAGCUCGUGCCCUGGGUUUUCAGGUGUGUGCCGACCUUGGCCUCCUGACAUCCAACCCUUAAUGCGGGUGUGCGAUUUCCAGCCUGACUCUCAGAGAAAGCUGUGUCCCUCCCAGAGGGCCCGAGCACACCUGGAAUUAAAGUGCGCACACUUUCCAGGGCCUAUCCCCGUCUUUGUACCUAAACACUUUAUGCUCGUUUCAAGGGCUCUGGAUGUGCCGGGAGGCUGUCAAGGACCUAGUGGUUUUGGACCACCCUUCUGUGCCCUGGGGGCCAAAAAGAUAUUUUAUGAGAUGUUCCUAACGAUAACUCCGAAGAGCUGCAUGAGGUCUGGGGAGAGGACGCGGAGAGAGAAACUUCCCAAGUAAACCUCCAUGCCGUGGACCUGCGAAAGGUCAUUCUGAAUCGUUGCGACACGUACUCCCAACGCACCAUUGCGCAAAAGGCCUUACCUUGUUUCGUUUUGUUUUCUGUCCCUACUCACUGUAGCGUUUUACCCUCUAGGUGGAAAAAGGUAAGGCACGAUUACAAAGUCCAUUGUUCUUUGGGCAGCCUGGGAGAACAUUUUGCUGUCCUUGCAGCUUACUCACACGGGAGGCAAGGGAGUUCCCAGAAUCUCGUGGACGACGAUGCAGGGUGUCUGGGGACAACGUGAAGUGCGGGGCUGCGUGGGGGGCUCCGCGCUGAUACAGAGCACACGCGGAGACGCCGUGCUCACUCGGUCAGCACUGAGCCCGGCACGCUGUCCACGGUCCUCUGGCUACAAUGCGAGGACGGCAGGAGCUUCAAGAGCCUUGGUUGGAUCGUUGCUUCCAAAUCUUUUCUUUAUCUUUGCAGCCUUAAGAAACAUGCAAUUCGUUCACCGAGAAGGGAGACAGCUAGAGAAUUCUGUCGUUCUGACCACGCCCUCCUAAGAGACUGGUUUUUCAGCUUGUCGGGAGAGGUGUUCUCUUGCAGGGGGUGUGCUUUUGUGUGAUCAUUUGCCUCUGCCCUGGGAUCCGUUCUCUGUCCCGCCCGGCUCUGUGUUGCCCGGAACCGUGGUCCCCAGAUCCUUCGCCAACUGAUCCCACUCCCUGUCUGGCCAGGUUUGGCCCCUGGGAGGCAGUGGGGGAGACUGGAAUGUGGGAGCACGAGGGAGGCCAGGGUUCUUCUUGCCUUGUUUUGCUUUAGGGAGCGUUUCUUUCCUCUGUGGCUCCAGCGCCACUGGCCAGACCCUCCCUCAGGGGCCUGGCUGCUGCCAGGCCGCCCUGACCAUGGCCCCAGGGCCCAGUGGACAUCUGAGCGGAAAUCUGAGGGACACGAGUGAGGGAACCAGGCGGGCAGCUGUGGGGAGGAUCCCAGGACAGGUCAGGAGGGCAGUGGCUGGGGGUGGCGGGGGGGGGGGGGGACAGGUGGGGCUUCAUCUGAGUGACAUGGGACGACGCUGUUGGAGGUCAACCAGAAUGGUGUGGUCUGGCUCCCAUCCUGAAGGACUGGCCUGGUGGCUCUGUGAAGUGCUUAGAGGGUAAAGUGAAGGAACCAGCUGUCACUCAUCUAAGCGAGAGACACCGUGGCUCAGACCACAACGGGGGAGGCGGGGUAGUGAGAAGUAGCAGCUUCCGAUUCUGUAUUUUGAAGACAGAAUCCCCAGAAUUUGCUGAGAGAUGGGGCAUAGAGUCUGAGAGAAAGAAACGGGUGACAUAUGGCUGUGACAGUUUGGGCCCAAGCAAGUGGAAUGAUCCUAUUUCCUAGCAGGGGAGAGGCUGGGGGGACAGGGAGUCUCCUUUUGGCUGCAGUAAGUCCGAGGUUCCUGUGGGACACCGGAGGGAAGAUACCAGAGCCACAGGGAGACAUCUGGCCGGAGACAUCCUCCCAUCGGGCAUUUCAGGCUGGAAGCGGAAGAAAUCCGGGCAUGAGUGUAGACAGUAAAGAGGUCAGGGUCGCUCCCCCAUGACCCUCUGCCAGUUAGAAGUUAGGGACAUGAGCCUCCAUGAACGAUGAAGAACUGAGAGAAAGAGGAUCUGGCGGCCAGGAGACAGAAGGGCGUCAAGGAAGGUGCACUGUAAGCGACAGAACUGGGAGGUGACCAUGGGGUUCGGCCACCACAGCCCAUAGCAGCGGCCUCCUGGGGAGGGCUCAUGGGAGACAGGGUCGUGGCCGUGGCUCAUGCUGCACAGCUAGAUCCAGGAGCUCCACAGUGAACAGGGAGCAGAGAUGGGUGGUGGGGAGAGCAAUGUGGGUCAGGACAGGUUGGAUUUUUUUUUAAUGUUUGUCUGUUUGUUUAUUGAGAGGGGGGAGGGGCAGAGAGAGGGAGAGAGGAUCCCAAGCAGGCUCCGUGCUGGCAGCGCAGGAGAGGCGGGUGUUUAAGGAGCAGGGUGUUCCAGCAAGAUGGAGUGCUUCAUCCCUGGUGCGGAAGAGAGAAGGAAAACGGUGGGAGCGGAUCGCUGAAGCAGGGAAGAGGGGCGAGGUGUGCCAGCCGAGCGCUCAGCCUACGUGGGCUGGGGGACGGUCCCUUGUGGGACGGGGAGCGGGGUGCACGGAGAAAGGGGCAGGGAGCUGGGGGUGGGUGGCGGGUCUGGUUUCUUCGGGAACAGGAAGCGGUGGUGCCCCGGAUGUAGGAGGAGUCGGGGGCGUUGAGGACAGAGGGGCUGCAGGGGACAUCCCGCUAAUGAUGGAAAUGCAGGCUGCCUCCGGGGCUGCAAGGCCCGUGCGCACGUCAUGUCACACACGCUCAGACGCACCGUUGCUGGAGCCAAGCCCGCGUGCACCGUCCCCGCGGUAGGCCGGCAGUCCGUCCCUAGAUGGAUGGCGGGGACUCCCGCCAACCGAGAGCCCGUCCCGUUGGGCUCACCGACAGAGAUUUUCCCCCUUUCCUGUGGUUUGUUUUAUUGAUUUAUUUUUAUGGCUGCUGAGGUUUUCUGUCACGUACAGAGAAGUGCGGUGGGCAGGGCAUGGGCUCUGGACUCAGACCUACCCUUGCCACUCCCUGGCGGUGCACGUUGCAUAACCACUUGGUCAACGCGGGGUAAGAAUGCCUGGGGGGUGGGGAGGUGUAUAAGCACCUGCCUGUGGCCCUCAGGCACCGGGCUUCUUCCCCCCGGGCUCUGCCUGGGCAGUUUGGGGUAGGCCAUGUGCAUCUGUAAACCUUGAGACCUGCGGGUCUGGCCCUUCCUCUGAUCCUUCUCCUGGAAAGUAUUUUGGGAACCAGAGACACAACAAGCUGUACAUUUGGCUCUGUCUUUCGGGCCAACGAAGAUGCAGGCAUCGUGCCUGCCUGUCACGCACCAGAACGUGUGUGUGGCCGUGGAGGACGCCCUCCGGGGACAGUCCGUGCCCCGGGAUCACCAGGAAGGAGAGCGUGGCCACUUCCCACGGAGCUGGCCACUGAGGUGACCUGCCGGCUGUGCGGGCUGAAAGCCUGUCUGAGUCCCAGUGACGGGGAAUGUGGGGGAGGGGAUGCCAACACACGUCCCCUUUCCAUCUUACCAACGUGACAUCCGCACCCAGGCUUCCCUGAAGAGAGGUUAUGCUGUAUGGGAUGCAAAUGUGAGUUUAGGGUUUUUGACUUUCUAUGUCUUUCCGGAGCAACUUUUACGUUAUUGGACAACAGGGGAAUGAGUCAGAGGCUUGGAAACAGGAAACUACGUAAGGCCCAAGUGGAAAGAGGAAUUUUUAUUAAGGCAGAAGUUGGAUUGUGUGGGAUUUUAGAAAGCGUGGUGGGCUUUGGACCGGGACCCCAGAGGGAGAGGGGCCAUAGAGUUAUUUGCGGUAGCGUUCCAAGAAGGAGGGCACGAGACCCCGCAGAGAAAGCUGCUUCUGUCGAGAACUGUUCCAACUGGAGCUGUGCUGAACCCCUGUCAGAGAGGGUUCUAUACUACUAAGGCCGGGACUGAGUGUGGCUAGCCAAUGUGGGGAGUUGAUAGUCUGAAACAUAAAAAAGACACGUGUUAGGAUCCCCAGAGAGAAAUUCCUGUUUGGUCUUAAAACCGGGAACAGUGGUCUUUCUCCCAAAUUCUCUUGGUUUGUUUGUUCCUUGUGGGUACCGGAACUGACCCUCGUGUCUUUCACGGGUGGCCAGAGCACAGAGCAUCAAAGGCGUCACCCACCCACGUGUGUGGUGUUCAUUCUUUGCUUUAUCUUCCUCUUUGGGGGAACUUGGCUCCCCUGUUGGCAGGGGCUGCCCUUCCCAGUGUACUGGUCCCUGCCCACCAGCUCAGCCAAUCACAACCAGCCUCCCUUGGGGCGUUGGUCCUGGGGAGCCAAUCAGAGCCCUUCCCUGGGAUUCUAACUGGAGCUGACCAAGCCCUCUCCCUCCCCACCCCAGUGCUAAAAGGCUUCCACCUGGAGCUGCGCCCACUCAGGGGACAGUAGCCUGAGGGACUGAGUACAGCUCUCAAGGAGAAUCAGGGAAGGGAGGACAUGGAACCCUUAGUCCCCAUCACUCCAAGACCAUUUCUUCCUCUCCCUCGCCCACUGAGCCAACAACAUUCCCAUCUUUGCUUAAGAUAGAGUUGGAUUUCUGUCUCUUGUAAGACAAGGUGUUAGCUAAUGAACUUCUGUCUUUUAAUUAACCUAAUCUUGUUAUUCUUUCCAGAGCAGGGUGGGGAGGAAAAGACAAAGGCAGGAAGGGAGGAGAGAAGCAAAGAAGGAAGGGAAGGCCGUGUAAGCAGAGUUUGUAGCUGAUAAAAGUGCCUGUUUUCUAGCUGUUACAGCCUGAACCCCCUUGCCCCUUGGCCAACCUCUUUGCUGUGGUCAGGUAGCGCUGGCCCUCAUGACCAGCAGCCUCCCAGAGGACCUACAGGACCAUGGCAUUUAUUCCCAAGCCCGUUCCGAAUAUCUGUGGGAAUGGGAGGUUCCGAUGAGCAUCUCUUUGUGUUUUUAAGUUCAGAUGCACAAAGUGGCUACUCUUCGGGCGACCAGAGAUCACAAAAUGCCCUGCCUCAUAUUCUUCCUCUGUUCCGCUUUCACGGAGAGCAAGCCCGCAAAAAAACAGCGUUGGAAUAGCCCGUUGGGAAGAUCUGCAUCUGUUCUCACGAUGUUCCUAUUGCUCGAGAUAUUUUGGAACUCCUUUUAAACAUUUUUGAAAGUUGAGGGCCCCUUGCGAGCUGUGAAGAGCAGAAUUACCGAUGUCACCACGGAAUAUUUGUGCAAGUACCGAGCAAAACCAUCCGCACCGGAGAGGCACAUAAAAGGUCCCGUGAAAACGUUUGCCGACGGCAGGGUGAAAUUCCCAGGUCAGCCUCUGUCCACAUCUCACCCGCCAGUCGGUGUGGCUCUGACUGACCCUGGUUAAUGAAAACUGGGGUCAGUUUCAGGCUGAAUUGCUUGCGCCCCAGGGAUUGCCCAGUGCAUCUCUCUCUCCCUUUUUAAACAAAGAACCAGUAACUUCA